CACAUUUUAACCAUAAAAACACUAACAAAGCUAUUGACUACUUCUAAGCAAUUUUUUGUUGGUUUUAGCCUCUUCUAGGAGAAAAUGCGUAGAGGUGUUUUCUAAACACUCCUAAUCCAUCUUUAACUCUUAUAAUUAGUCAAAGGCUUUGGAUUGUGACUCAUUUUGACGAUAGAAACACUAAGAAAGUCAUUUACUGCUUCUAAGCAAUUUUUUGUUGGUUUAAGCCUCUUUUGGGAGAAAAUAGGUGUAAGUGUUGUAUGAACACUCCUAAUCCAUCUCUAACUGUUAUAAUUAGUCAAAUGCAUUGGAUUGUGACACAUUUUGACCAUAGAAACACUAACAAAGCAAUUUACUGAUUCUAAGCAAUUUAUUGUUGGUUUUAUCCUCUUUUGAGAGAAACUUGAUAUAAGUGUUGUGUAAAAAUUUCUUAUCCAUCUCUAACUCUUAUAAUUAGUCAAAUGCAUUGGAUUGUGACACAUUUUGACCAUAAAAACACUAACAAAACUGUUUACUGCUUUUAAGCAAUUUUUUGUUGGUUUUAGCCUCUUUUGGGAGAAAAUGGGUAUCAGUAUUAUCUAAACACUCCUAAUCCAUCUCUAACUCUUAUAAUUAGUCAAAUGCAUUGGAUUGUGACAAAGUUUGACAAUAGAAAAACUAACAAAGCUAUUUACUGCUUCUAAGCAAUUGUUUCUUGGUUUUAGCCUCUUUUGGAAAAAAAUGGGUAUAAGUGUUGUCUAAACACUUCUUAUCCAUCUUUAACUCUUAUAAUUAGUCAAAUGCAUUGGAUUGUGACACAUUUUGACAAUAAAA
rnacentral:sRNA from 1 species